rnacentral:rRNA from 1 species
GGGCGUAAGGGCUCGCAGGCGGUUUCCUUAAGUCUGAUGUGAAAGCCCCCGGCUCAACCGGGGAGGGUCAUUGGAAACUGGGAAACUUGAGUGCAGAAGAGGAGAGUGGAAUUCCACGUGUAGCGGUGAAAUGCGUAGAGAUGUGGAGGAACACCAGUGGCGAAGGCGACUCUCUGGUCUGUAACUGACGCUGAGGAGCGAAAGCGUGGGGAGCGAACAGGAUUAGAUACCCUGGUAGUCCACGCCGUAAACGAUGAGUGCUAAGUGUUAGGGGGUUUCCGCCCCUUAGUGCUGCAGCUAACGCAUUAAGCACUCCGCCUGGGGAGUACGGUCGCAAGACUGAAACUCAAAGGAAUUGACGGGGGCCCGCACAAGCGGUGGAGCAUGUGGUUUAAUUCGAAGCAACGCGAAGAACCUUACCAGGUCUUGACAUCCUCUGACAACCCUAGAGAUAGGGCUUUCCCUUCGGGGACAGAGUGACAGGUGGUGCAUGGUUGUCGUCAGCUCGUGUCGUGAGAUGUUGGGUUAAGUCCCGCAACGAGCGCAACCCUUGAUCUUAGUUGCCAGCAUUCAGUUGGGCACUCUAAGGUGACUGCCGGUGACAAACCGGAGGAAGGUGGGGAUGACGUCAAAUCAUCAUGCCCCUUAUGACCUGGGCUACACACGUGCUACAAUGGACAGAACAAAGGGCUGCAAGACCGCAAGGUUUAGCCAAUCCCAUAAAUCUGUUCUCAGUUCGGAUCGCAGUCUGCAACUCGACUGCGUGAAGCUGGAAUCGCUAGUAAUCGCGGAUCAGCAUGC